rnacentral:rRNA from 1 species
UAGCGUAGGGUGCGAGCGUUGUCCGGAAUUAUUGGGCGUAAAGAGCUCGUAGGCGGUGUGUCACGUCGGCCGUGAAAACCUGCAGCUUAACUGUGGGCGUGCGGUCGAUACGGGCAUCACUGGAGUUCGGCAGGGGAGACUGGAAUUCCUGGUGUAGCGGUGAAAUGCGCAGAUAUCAGGAGGAACACCGGUGGCGAAGGCGGGUCUCUGGGCCGAUACUGACGCUGAGGAGCGAAAGCGUGGGGAGCAAACAGG